UGUGUGUGUGGCAGAAAAAAAACAAAAGGCUACGUGGGGGUCAGGCGGCCAAUAGGCGAUCCAAGAGCACCGCAGCGGCAACGUCAAGGGCGGGACUAUCGCGGCGCGCGCGGGCGAUGGCCUCGGCGAGGGUCUCGCCCUGGGCCUCGCUGCAGGCCCGUGCGGCGCCGGCAUAGGCCAAAAGGGCCGUGGCCGUGGCGAUGCGGUGCUUGACGAGGGCGCCCACAAGGGCCUCGGCAAACCUUUCGAGAUGGUGCCUCUCGCAGAGCCACACGGCAGCAUUGCGCGCGCCGCUGGACGCCGCCAUCACCAGAGCGCCGUCGAGAUCACCUCCGUCCACAUUGUGAUCGCAGAGCCAGACCAAGGCGUCGACCCUGUUGUUGUGCGCCGCCAAAUCCGCCCACGUGCGUGGGUGGCCCGGCUUGACGCAGGGACCAUACGCUGGCAUGCAGCCCACACGCGAAAAGAGGCUCGCCAAUUGGCCCUCGUCAAACAAGAGUUGAAGGACCGCGACGCGCCCAUGCACGACCGACUCCCACACCGUCGCGUAGAGCCAGUUUUCCCGUUCGACGAUUUUCCACUUUACGAGUGCGCGCAAGAGGUCGAGAUGGCCGGCCUUGGCCGUGUCGGCCAUGAUGUCGCGUAGGCGACACGCUGGGAUAGACGUCGCGCUCCAACGGCAGGGGCAUCCGGCGACGCAUCGAGGCCGGCCGGCGGCGUAGAGUACCUCGGCGCACGCCACCGACCCCGUGGCCGGUAGACGCUCCCACAGGCGGCCGUGGGCCUGAUCCGACGGCGCGCUGGCGCGCGCUUUGGAAAGUGUCCAUUGAAGAAGUGCGACAUCGGCGGCAGCCAUGGCCUCGGCAGCCAGACGCAUGCGGCAGGCCUCGGCGCCUUGGCCCAUGGGGGUCCUCCCCGCCGCGAGGUCGUCUUCCAAGACGGCGCGGCGCCACGCCUUGCAGACGCGCGCAACCAGGAACCGGGCCUGUGGCGUCGGUGCGGCUCUUUGGAGAAUCAACCACCACAGUUCGAUAGGCAGGUCGGAUCGCCUGCUUGUGUCCAUGUCGUCGUCGUCGUUGUCGCUUUUGCGGUCAUCUUCCGCGUUGAUGUAUCUAUAGUCGAUCGGCGUCGGGCCGCAACCCCAUAGACUCGCCAGCCGCGACAACAUUGGUCGAGUCGCGCGACGCCUCGUAUGGGGGACGGUCUGGACAGACGCCGGGGACAAAGAAAAGAUUGGUGUAGAAAGAAAAAAAAGAAAGAUGCGCU
rnacentral:lncRNA from 1 species